rnacentral:tRNA from 1 species
CAGAGUGGUUUAGUGGUGAGAGUGCUGGGCUGGGAGUCUGGAUUCCUGGGUUCCAUCCCCAGCUCUG